rnacentral:rRNA from 1 species
UGAACGCUGGCGGUAUGCUUAACACAUGCAAGUCGAACGGAAACGAUGGAAGCUUGCUUCCAGGCGUCGAGUGGCGGACGGGUGAGUAACGCGUAGGAAUCUGCCAGAUAGUGGGGGAUAGCCCGGAGAAAUCCGGAUUAAUACCGCAUAAUCUCCAUGGAGUAAAGAGGGCCUCUAUUUAUAAGCUUUCGCUAUCUGAUGAGCCUGCGUAAGAUUAGCUAGUUGGUGGGGUAAUGGCCUACCAAGGCGACGAUCUUUAGCUGGUCUGAGAGGAUGAUCAGCCACACUGGGACUGAGACACGGCCCAGACUCCUACGGGAGGCAGCAGUGGGGAAUAUUGGACAAUGGGGGCAACCCUGAUCCAGCAAUACCGCGUGUGUGAAGAAGGCCUGAGGGUUGUAAAGCACUUUCAAUUGUGAAGAAAAGUUAAUAGUUAAUACCUAUUAGCCUUGACGUUAACUUUAGAAGAAGCACCGGCUAACUCCGUGCCAGCAGCCGCGGUAAUACGGAGGGUGCAAGCGUUAAUCGGAAUUACUGGGCGUAAAGCGUGCGUAGGCGGUUGACUAAGUCAGAUGUGAAAGCCCCGGGCUUAACCUGGGAACUGCAUUUGAAACUGGUCAACUAGAGUAUGGUAGAGGAAAGUGGAAUUUCUGGUGUAGCGGUGAAAUGCGUAGAUAUCAGAAGGAACAUCGAUGGCGAAGGCAGCUUUCUGGACCAAUACUGACGCUGAGGUACGAAAGCGUGGGUAGCAAACAGGAUUAGAUACCCUGGUAGUCCACGCCGUAAACGAUGAUAACUAGCCGUUGGGAGGGUUUACCUCUUAGUGGCGAAGCUAACGCGUUAAGUUAUC